rnacentral:rRNA from 1 species
GUUUGUCGCGUCGUCUGUGAAAUUCCGGGGCUUAACUCCGGGCGUGCAGGCGAUACGGGCAUAACUUGAGUGCUGUAGGGGAGACUGGAAUUCCUGGUGUAGCGGUGAAAUGCGCAGAUAUCAGGAGGAACACCGAUGGCGAAGGCAGGUCUCUGGGCAGUUACUGACGCUGAGGAGCGAAAGCAUGGGUAGCGAACAGGAUUAGAUACCCUGGUAGUCCAUGCCGUAAACGGUGGGCGCUAGGUGUAGGGGGCUUCCACGUCUUCUGUGCCGUAGCUAACGCAUUAAGCGCCCCGCCUGGGGAGUACGGCCGCAAGGCUAAAACUCAAAGGAAUUGACGGGGGCCCGCACAAGCGGCGGAGCAUGUGGAUUAAUUCGAUGCAACGCGAAGAACCUUACCUGGGCUUGACAUACACCAGAUCGCUGCAGAGAUGUAGUUUCCCCUGUGGUUGGUGUACAGGUGGUGCAUGGUUGUCGUCAGCUCGUGUCGUGAGAUGUUGGGUUAAGUCCCGCAACGAGCGCAACCCUUGUCUUAUGUUGCCAGCAUUUUAGUUGGGGACUCAUGAGAGACUGCCGGGGUUAACUCGGAGGAAGGUGGGGAUGACGUCAAAUCAUCAUGCCCCUUAUGUCCAGGGCUUCACACAUGCUACAAUGGUCGGUACAACGCGCAGCGACACUGUGAGGUGGAGCGAAUCGCUGAAAGCCGGUCUUAGUUCGGAUUGGGG